rnacentral:rRNA from 1 species
GACGAACGCUGGCGGCGUGCUUAACACAUGCAAGUCGAACGGAAAGGCCCGGCUUUUGUGGGGUGCUCGAGUGGCGAACGGGUGAGUAACACGUGAGUAACCUGUCCUUGACUUUGGGAUAACUUCAGGAAACUGGGGCUAAUACCGGAUAGGAGCUCCUGCUGCAUGGUGGGGGUUGGAAAGUUUCGGCGGUUGGGGCUGGUCUCGCGGCUUAUCAGCUUGUUGGGGGGGUAGUGGAUUACCAAGGCUUUGAAGGGUAGCAGGCGUGAGAGGGUGGCCGGCCACAUUGGGACUGAGGUACGCACCAGACUGCUACGGGAGGCAGCGGGGGAGAGUAUUGCACAAUGGGCGGAAGCCUGAGGCAGCAACGCCGCGUGCGGGAUGACGGCCUUCGGGUUGUAAACCGCUUUCGCCUGUGACGAAGCGUGAGUGACGGUAAUGGGUAAAGAAGCACCGGCUAACUACGUG